GUUGUCUCCAAAAAAAAGUUGGCCUCUAUCGUGAUCCAAACCUCUCCUGUUGCCUCUUGGUCCUCCUUCCUCGUCUUCUCACCUCACAAUAACUCUAUCGAUUGAUUUUCCAACUUUUCUGCUGUCCUAUCGUCUCUCGUAUUAACUUCCCCCGAUUGAUUUCCCAUUACUCUCGACAGAUGGUCUUCAUCUUCUCAAUAAGAUACGGUGAUAGGCUCAUGUGCGAGGUCAUCGGCGCCAUCGAGGGAAAGGUGCUCCCAGAUGACACUAUGGUGCGCGCCCGCGGGAAGAGCGACUAUGACACAUGCUUGGGCGGCAACUCCAUGAGCAACGGCAAUGGGAUGCACCAUCCCUGCCGGCGCCGACGGGGUCCUGCGGGCUGGUGAUGGCCGUCGCCGCCGCCGUUGUGGCUCUGACCGUGCUCACACUGUUUUGAUGAAGCCCGUCGACGUUGCUAGCUUCUGGCCAGAUCAAUGGAUUGGCGGGGACGGUGCUCCAGAACACGUCACUAUUCAAGCGAGGCCGCGAUCUACAUGGGCUAACACGGUGUAUCUGCAGAUGAACUUGUGCAGGUUCUAGCUCGUGAAGAGCCAGUGGGCCACGCCAGCCGUCAAGUACCGCAUGAUGAUACCUAAUCCAUUGCGCACAACCUCAAGCUCAAGUUGCAGAUUGGCUAUUGACUAUUCGUAUUUUCUGUGGCAUGUUCUGUCAAUCGUGUUACUUAAGGUAACUCCAUCCCUCGGUUUUGUUACCAGAAUUGCACUGAUUUUCCUGAAGACAUGUGAAGAAAUUAGAUUGCACCAAUCUCCUUUGAUGGUAUGGCUACCAUAAUCUUCUUUGACGUUUAUCACAUCUUCUAUUUGUGAUUACUGAUGUACUCUCGAUGUAUCUCUAGAUAACUAAAAUUGUGUUUCACUCGCAAAAAAAAACUAAAAUUGUGGUUGCAGGUUACUAUUCUGUUGUUAAAUUCUUCUUGAUGAUGGGCAAUUCUAACUUUUUCGAGCCACAUUAUAGUGAUACAAAUCUCCUUUGAUGCGCGGUAUGGCUUCCACACAAUCCUUUGUGUUCAACACAUAAUCUGCUAACCUGUGAAAAAAUUAGCUUGCACAAAUCUCCUUUGGUGGUAUGGCUUCCAUACUCUUAUUUGUUCAUUCAACAAAUCAUCUAUUUGUGGUUACUGAUGUAUGCUGAAUGUAUCUCUAGAUAAUCAAAAUAUCAUGUGUUUCUAGGUUACUUUUUUCGUAAAGUUCUCAAUGAUGGGCAACUCUAACCUGCUGGACAUGGAAUACAUUUUCAUUUUUCAAGCGAGUUGUGCAUGAAAUGGAUUUACUUUAGCUCGGAGACCAACAUGCUUAAUAGGUGUUUCAAAUUAUUUAUAUUUCCUUUAUCUAAUAUAUAUCCAAUUUUUUUGGUUGUAAUUUCCGCAGCAACACGCAGGGUAUCAUCUAGUUUUAAAAAUAUAAUAAGAGUGCAGAAGCUCCUCUAUCCGGUUACUAGUAGUAUAGUACAUACCUCUAUAGACUAUAGUAGUAGUACUAGUACUAGUAAACUUUGCGCUUGGUUGUUCGCCUCUUCGGGAAGUCGAACAAUAAUAGUACUAGUAUAGUGUAUGCUUCUGGCAAUCUCACAUCGAGUUAACUGUUGCAGGUCCACCGCCUGAGUGAGGGAGAGCUUGCAUUAGUCAAAAGUUUCUCCUUGUCAUGCGAGCCACCGCACGCAAGCUUCUCCCGUCCUGCAAGCUUCUCCUCGUUCGGCAAGCUGACGGGACACAACAAAGUAAUGCUAGUCCAUACUGCCUCCUCUCCGGUUAAUAUAGCUUAAUUUCAAACGAGAUAAAUACACUGUCUGUCACUGUAUACUUGUAAAAAUACGGUCAGUGGAAUUCAUAAUAUGCUCAUUGUGCUCAAUAUAUACAUUUUCCGGCGUUUAUAUGGUCACUAGCUCACCCUGGCUAAGUAUAUGUGUGCAUGCACGUGUAGGUUGAGCACUUGAGCAUGACCGUGUGUGU
rnacentral:rRNA from 1 species